rnacentral:rRNA from 1 species
AGAGUUUGAUCCUGGCUCAGGACGAACGCUGGCGGUGCGCCUUAUGCAUGCAAGUCGAGCGAAGCUUUUCAGUAGUUUACUACAGAAAAUGACUGAGCGGCGAACGGGUGAGUAACGCGUGAGCAAUCUACCUUAGUUACAGGGAUAGCCCGGGGAAACUCGGAUUAAUACCUGAUAUUCUUUAUUUCUCGCAUGAGAAUAAAAGGAAAGGUCAGCCGAACUAAGAUGAGCUCGCGUUCUAUCAGCUAGUUGGUGAGGUAAAAGCUUACCAAGGCUACGACGGAUAGCUGGUCUGAGAGGACGAUCAGCCACACUGGGACUGAGACACGGCCCAGACUCCUACGGGAGGCUGCAGCAGGGAAUAUUGUGCAAUGAACGAAAGUUUGACACAGCGACACCGCGUGUGGGAUGACGGAUCUAGGUUUGUAAACCACUUUCAGGAGGGAAGAAAAUGACGGUACCUCCACAAGAAGCCCCGGCCAACUACGUGCCAGCAGCCGCGGUAAUACGUAGGGGGCGAGCGUUGUCCGGAUUUAUUGGGCGUAAAGAGCUCGUAGGCGGUUCAACAAGUCGGUCGUGAAAGUUCAGGGCUCAACCCUGAAAUGUCGAUCGAUACUGUUGUGACUAGGAUACGGUAGAGGUGAGUGGAAUUCCGAGUGUAGCGGUGAAAUGCGUAGAUAUUCGGAGGAACACCAAUUGCGAAGGCAGCUCACUGGGCCGCUAUCGACGCUGAGGAGCGAAAGCUAGGGGAGCAAACAGGAUUAGAUACCCUGGUAGUCCUAGCUGUAAACGAUGGAUACUAGACGUAGGUACUGGAUUGACGGUUUCUGUGUCGUAGCUAACGCGUUAAGUAUCCCGCCUGGGGAGUACGGUCGCAAGACUAAAACUCAAAGGAAUUGACGG